AAAGCUUAUACCUAAAUAUAAAAAAAAAUACAAUGUUACAAAUUAAAAUUAAAAAUAAUAAAAAGUAUUAUUUAAUGUUAGGUACACAUUUUCGCCCACUACAAUGGAGCAGCAAGUGUGAAGAAAAGCGUGUGGUAAAUAAAUCAUUGUCCAUUUAAAAGUUGUGGUUGUUGUUGGGCCUUUUUCUCCUUGUUUACCCUAUAAUUGGCAUUUUUUAACCAAUUAGAAAUCGAUUCCUUAAACAGUUGGGCACUGCAGUUCGGAUUUCCAAACUUGUCAACGAUUUCUAUAAAUAAUUAGGUAUAACGUAACGUAUCAUUUACAGAAUGUGUACGGCAAGGAGGAAAUCGAACCGCUACAUCACAACAAAUUCGUUUAGAAUACCAAGAAUAUUUUGGAGCAGUAGCAUGGCAACAAGAUUCUGUUUUUGUUUUUGUUUUUUUUUUUUGUUAAGUACGACUUCGACUGCUAAGGUCUUUUCGUCUACUUCUAAUCACUUGUAGUCAAGAGUGCUUCUUAUCCGGUCAUCGCUUUUAAGAUUAUCAGGUAAGUUUCUCAUUAAUUUCUUUUCAGCUCUUUGGUGGUUGUGCUGCACAGUCGCAAAUUAUGUGCGUUACGGUCAGUCUCUCGUUGCAGUAUUCACACAAGGGUGCAUCGAGGCCCUUCAGCAGGUGUUCGUGUGUAACCUUUACAUGACCAAUCCUCAGCCUGUGUGUUUUGACCAUAUCUGCUCUGGACAUAUGUUUAAUGUAAAACAUUCCCCUUACUUGCCGUUUUAUUGUGAUAUGUAAAUGCGUCCGUUUUUUCCAUCACGUCAACGUCUACUUGUGGAUGUUCAGAAGCUUCUCGUGCUGUUCUGUCUGCAAGGUCGUUGCCUGGUAUACCUGCGUGUCCUGGCACCCAAAUAAAUAUGAUGGAUACAUUUUUGUUGUUUAGGUUUAAUAGUUCUGAUUGGGCCAGUUUAGUUAAAGCAUUAUUGGAAUAAAUUUGUGUUAAGUCUGUUAAUGCAUUUAUAUUAUCGCUUGCAAUAAUAAAUCUUUGAGUUUCAGACAACGAGGAACAGUGCUGAAGAGCUUUCCAGAUGGCAUAUCUUUCUGCGAAU